UUCAACCAAGUGUGCAUAGUCAAAUUUAAUUAAUUGCUUGAGGAAUUAAAGUAACCCGUUUAUGUAUCAAGAUGUGUUCCUUCUUUUCGCUCAGAUAAUCAACUUAAGGCAUUCGAGAUAGCAAAUAGUUCAGUACUAUUAAAUUAUGAAUUAAUCUUACAGUUUUUCUAUUUCGUUACAGAUACUCAACAGAAUUUGUCUAUUGCCUGUUGCUUCUAUGGAUGUCAAUUGCUAGCUACAUCAAAAGGUAUUGGCUAAGCAAAAAAGUUGAAGGUAUUGGCUAAGCAAUUUUAAAAGGUUUAUCGGUGAGCGGAGGUCUCUCUCUCACACAGAAACGUCUCCCUGUUCGAACUAUCAGUUGGUAAUUGGAAACAAAAACUCAAAAUGGGAAACAUAAUGGAAGGACACAUACCAGGCAACCGUAUAGAUCAGUUCAAGGACCCUCUAAAAGAAGUUAUAUACCAUAGAGAGCUUCAUCUUUGCAGAUGCACGCAAGAAAUACAGGACAGCGGAUCAACAAUAUAGAUUCAAAUUUACUCAGCGCACAAAGCUCCACCUCUGGGAAAAGAAAGGUAGGCCAAAGCAUUGGCUACUACACCCAGCAAGAAGCACAUCAACAAAGAGCUCUUCCGACGAUAGCAGCAAAAGUCAGCCAAAAACGGGCCAGCUUAGCUGAAAAAUCCAAGACAGAGAAGGAAUGAAGCAGCAAAGACAAAGACUGAGCUACUUGGAAGAUUAUCCAUGUUUAGAUGCUCUUUGAUAUUCUACUAAUAUAGUGAGUAGUGUUGUCCGCAACAAAUUAUUACCAUUCUCAUUUUCAACACAAAAUUUGGAAAUUUAACUUCAAGAUAUUUUUAAAAUUUAAAAUUUUGAAUUUCCAGUGUGAAGUUGUCAACAAUAACUAAAGAAAACUAUCUACUGAUAUUUUGGGUGCUAUAUAUUCCAGAUUAUUUGUGCUACUGCUACUGCUAUUGUAAAGUCUUGAUUCUGAAAUCUAUAUGCCCAAAUAUCAUACAUUGGCUUUUCACUCAAAUCAUGCACCAUGCCUAAACACUAAUGUUCUAUUGAAUACAAUGAUCUUGCUGAACGUGAAUGCAGGUUUGUGCUGAGACAUUGGUAAAGAAAGCAUAUGAAGAAUGGAUGCAUGAUGUAGGAUACGAUGGUAAGACAUUCCAGAGCUUCAAGCACAAUCUGUCACAACCACAAGUGAUACAACAACAGCUUCAACAAGUAACCAUGCUUCACAUGGUCCGGUCAAUGCACAGAAACAAUUAUUCGCAGGAAAAGUUAGCCAAACUUCCACAGGUACUACAAGUGAAGACCUGCUAACCUACGUUCGGUCUCUAGGAAUAAACACUUCUAUUAUACUGUAGUAUUAAGUGCCCAUCAGGCAAAUAAUUAAAUUACCUUUGUUGUGCUACUAUAUUCUUUAUUAUACUUCGUUUCUUUGGACUUCCAACUAUUAAGUUUCUGCUAGCCAAGCAUGUGUACUUAUGUUAGAUGGAACAUGAUUAUGUUAGAUGGAACAUAAGGGAACA